UCUUGUGACGCAUUAAGGAGCGUUCCGCGAGGCCUUGUGUUGCGUGGGACAGGACUAAGCUCUAACACCGGGUAGAUUCAGUUCUGAGGAACGGGAGGGGAAAGCCCGCCCGGCGCUGCCGGUGCACAUUAACCUAAUUAGCUCUCGGUCACUAGGCGGAUGCGCCGUGCGCGAUGUGGCCGGAGCCGCGUUUACCCGAGUUCCGCCUUCUGCCCCGUAAGCGGCCGCCAGCAUCGUACGGGAGCUCGGAUACAGCCCGGGGAGCGCUGCGUUCGUACCGAGCGCAACGGCCGGGGCCGCCGGUCACUCUCCGCCCCGCCCUCACGCUUACAAUGUCGGUUCCGGCAAAGAGGUGUGGAAGGCCCCCGGUGUUGUCUUUUCUGGAAAAGAAAAAAAGAAAGCAAAGUCUUGAUAGAAGAAGGGGGAAAACAAGGAUUUAUGUGGGAAAUCACAUUGACCGAUGGUUGACACUUAAAGAAAAGUUGGAUUUCAGAAAUGAUGCAGAAGUUGCAGGGUUUUUACUGGACUUGUAUGACAGCUACGACCCGUUGUCAAAAGCUCCGAUCUGUUCCCUCCCUGAGGGCGUGGGAAGAAUUGCUUUGAAAGAAGAGCGAGCAUUGUCAGGCAGCACUUCUUUGAUAGCAGCUGAUGGAACGUAUGACAAUGAUGACCAGUUGUCUAAAGAAUCUGCUUGUUCUGAACUUGGAGAUGUGAAAAUUGUAACUGUGAAAGAAGAGAGAGAGAUGCGGCGUGACUGCUUGUCAACAGAGACAGAUGACACGUUAGUGAUACUAUGGUUUUGUGCAUGUUUUGCAUAUGAAAAUAUUUUGCAUUGAUUUUAUUAUCACUUCUAAUUUUCUCUAUUAGAAACUCACAUCAUUCAUGAUCUGAUUCAUUAUCUAAAAACAUCUUGGUACAUAAUGGUUGGUCCAGUCCUUGUGAGGCAAGAAUCUGAGAGAGAUUUUGGAAAAGUUGUAAGACUCUUAGAGUACACACAGCAAACCUGCUUGUUCAGUGACUGCCUUCCUUAAUUGUGUACAAGAUUCAUGAGUGCAACAAGAAAAUAGCUAGUACUUUACAUGUAUCCUAGUCACUUUAGUAAGCAGUUAGAUUUUUACAGUAGUACAGUCUCCAGGCAAGUGCAAUUGCGCGUGCUUUAACCUUUCUCAAAAGAAAAACGUUUCAUUGUCGACCGAGUGAUAUUACAUACAAAGUGACAUGUUAACCUAUCUAAAAAUAGUGCCGUGCUCAACGAGGCAACCACACCAUCAGUCGGCUGCUGAUUUCUUUUACUGCAGUGUCAUCAGUAACUGAGGCAUUCACAGUUGAGAUCAGAGGAGCCUCAAAUAGGGGGACACUGAGAACCUAGGACAUUACAUUGGCAUUGCAUGGUGUGUCCAAACCCCUCGCUAAUAUGGUGAAGUGAACAAGUUGGGGUUCUGAAAGCAAUUUCUGUGGCACAGAAGAAUUCUUGGAAGCUAGGUCAGGAGAAAAUAAAUACCAGUGCUGAUGAAGCUGACAAAUUCAAGUACAGUCUUCAAAAUAGCAUUUGUUCUCUGGCAAUAUAAUUUUAGUUUGGAGUACAGCAAUAAUUGAAUUCCUGGGACUGAUAUGAUACAGGUGAGACAGAGGGUUUGUUCUUAAUUGAUUGCUUAUUACAGCCUUCUGAGAUGUGAGAAAUAUUGUGAAAAGUUGUUUGGUAUGAGAAAAACUUUCUGUUACCCUACAAGGUAAGGUAUAUGAUGUUUUGUUACAGUCUCAUGAUACCUAUGUGAAGUUGCUGGAUGAAUGAUCAGGCAUGUAUGCAGUGGUAAUUGUAUAAAGCUAAGAAAUGACAGCUGUCUAAGAAUAAAGAGAUUCAAAAAUAAGAGCUUUAUCGGACAGACAUCCUAGGGCAUACUAUGUUAUUCUAGGGAAUAUUUACCUACCAGGAGUAGUUGUAUAGCCUUUCUAUGAGGAAAAUAAUUGUUUUGUAUGGCAGUGUCUGAACACCACAUGAGUGGUAAUGGUUUUGGGUUUGUUUUUCAUUCACAGUAUAGCAGAAGAGGUGGAGUGAUGAUGAUGUUGAGGGAUUCUUACUAGCUGUGGUCAAGUGGUCCAUACAACGGUCAAGUGAUUUGCCCAAAUUCAUGUUGGUAGCUGAACCUGGGUCUUAAAAGUAAGACUAAACUCAAUUACUAACUCAGUGGUUUUAGAUAGGUGGGCAAAAUUCUUAAUUGUGGAAAAUAGUGGUUUUCCUUCAGAAAGGAACAGCAGUUAUGUUAAUGUAUACCUUUUUUUUCUUUUUGUUUUUAAAGGUGUGGUACUGCACUUCCUAUUGAAGGGUGGAGAUGAAGGCAGGUAUUUCCUGCUUUCCAGGCAUUUGGGUGUUAUGUUUUCCUGUUGCUCUUACUGGUUUGGGCCUUAUGGAGUAUGUCUCUUCAUUCUAUGCUGCUAUAUAAGGGCCAGGAAAAGAACAAGGUCUUGUUGAAGGGGCUUUAUUAACAAAUUCUGAAUUAACAGUCAUAAAGCAGCUGUUGUAUUCUCGGCCUUUUACUAUCUAGUCUAGUUUUAGGUUGGCUAAACUCUAACUGAUAAGGAACUGGAAAUAUCAAAGAUAAUGGAGCAAGAACAUUUACUCACUUUAUCAGUGGCUUGAAUGUUUGGUUUGUGGCUUGUUUAUGGAGUCUUGCCUGAUGAUGGUAGCUUUCAGAGGUUGCUGUUGUUGUAGACAAUUAAAUUCAUGGAUAAACAGUGAGGGAGUCAAGUAGCAGGGAUUUCAAGAUUCUUGCCAGGUGGAAUGGUGGUUUUUUGAUUUUUUUUUUUUUUUUGAGUUCUGGCUUUUGUGAAGAGUUGGAAUGUUGAAAUAACAUGGGAAGAAAAGAAUGUACAUAAAUCUCAUUUAAAGUGUUAUUAGCAAGUUAUAGCCAGAGAGAAGUGUUACUGAACCAUGUCCCGUUAGGUUCCUGAAUACAUUCAGUUCUUCUCUAAUGUUUCUUCUGUUACUAACUUCCAACUUUAACAUUUAGAAUACUAACCAAGCUAGAUUCAAAUUAUUUUUCUGGUUUACGUGUAACAAGUAUAAAACUGUCAAAGCAGAUAAUAAACAAUUUACUGUUUUUUCUUUAAUCUUUGUUACUGACUGAUGUUAAAAUUGAAGAAUGAUGGUUCAAAGUAGUUGAACAGGGGUUUUUUUGAGGAAGCUUUGGGGGAUUUGGGAUUCUUUUACUUCUGCAAUAUUUGAGUGAUAGAGAUUCAAAGACUCCUUUACCUGGACCUUUAUUAAUGAGACAAAUUCUCAUGAUAGAACUGACUUUCCUGGGAUUAGAUUAUGGAAUAUAUCUUUUCUUGCCUCGAUUCACUAAGAAAUGAAACAGAACACAAAUACAAAAUAAAUACUCAAAGUGUCACGGCAGUUUGGUGAGGAAGACUGAAACCUGUAGGAUGAGUUGGUGUCAGUCAUUAGUAACUGAUUAGUUGGGAAGCCCCGACUUUGAAGGUAGGCUUCAGCUUCAGUUCCUGUCUCUCCUAAAAUGGUAGUGGCAACUCCUUUGAUAACAAUUUUUGCUACAUAACUUUUCUCACAAUCAUGAGACCUUGCAAGAGUCUGUAUUGCAGACCGUCUCUUUAUCUUAACCUGUUGUCUGAAAAAUUGUAUGAUUACUAUCCAGACAAGGAUAAUUCCCUAACUUGGAAAGAAAAUAAACAAUCCUGAGGUAAUGUCUAGCAAGGUGUUAAUGCUGAAGACUUACCAUGGUACCAGCAUGAACAGCUGAGGAGUUUCUUAGCAAGCAGGAAAGUAAAACUUAAAUUACAUUUAAAAGAAAGAAAAAAGAAAAAAAAAUAAUCUCCUUAGUGGGACAGGUUCCUGUGCUCUACCAACAAAUUGAUUUUCGAUGCUUUGUUUUGACUAGUCUGCAUUCAGACUCUUUAAGUCUGGCCAAAAUAUAAAAUAAUUCUUAAUUGAACUAAAAGACUCCGCAUGUAUUGGUUUUGGUCUCUAGUGUUCACAGUUUGUUUUUAAUUAAAAAAAACCCCAAAACACCCCUCCCAUCCUCCCCCCAAACCACAAUCUGUGGUUAUUUCACUAAUGUAACUUGAAAGUGAAUGUGUAACGCUGCUUUUCCUUACAGAAAAUUAAGAUUGAGUCGUUAGUCUAAGACAAUUUAUUUUAUUGUAAUGCUAAAUGUUGAUCUGUAUUUCACUAUAGUGAAACCUAUGUAUAUACAUCAGAUAAUCAGACCAACAUCUUAUGUUUUUAUGUACUGCACAUACAAUCAUUCCAUUUGUGCUUUUGUAAUAUUGUCCAUUAUUUCCAAGUUAGAAGAUUCUAUUAAGGGAAGGUACUUGCCUAGACAUACUUUGUGAAACAAUACAAACAUAUUUCAUAUUUAGAUAUUUGAAUGUCCCAUUGUAACUAUUAUCAUUGUGUUACUUUUCAGGGUGACCAGCCAGAAGAAAAUCAAGCUCUUGCAUAACAGUAUUGGGGCAGGUUUUGGCCCAUUUUGAUUUUGCUGUGAGGGUAUUGUGAACUAUAAAGAAUUACUGUAAGUUGUAGCAUGAAAUUCCAUGUUACUUGUUGAAAAGCACAUUAAACUUAAUUACCUAAAGUUUUAUUGUGUUAUGUUAACAUUAAUAAAGUGUGUGGAGUGGAUUAGUUCACUGUGAGAGUCUGUACAUAGUUCUCUGAAGGGCAACCAGAAAUGAGCCAAAAUGCCAAUAGGUGUUGCUUGAGCUUAUUCAGAAUGUAUUAACUUUCUAUAGGUUGUGUUAAUGAAAAAGUUCCUCCCAUUUUAUGUAAAACUCCAAGGGUUAAAAUAGAAAAAACAUUCUUGUAGCAGUUGCAGCAUCAAGCACACUUCCAUCCUGAAUGCGUUUCUUGAAAUGCUUUUUCUUAGGGAACAAAUUUAACAUAUCCCACGUAAUGGAAGGUAUUCUUGCAGGUUGUUGAUGCACUUAAAAAUGAUGGGUAAAAACACUGGACUAUAUAGCGUGUUGUGCUAGUGCCUUCUACAAAAUGCAUAAUCAAGAGAGCUACUAUGUCAUUUAGCUAAAUAUAUUUUGUUACUGAAUAAUUUGAUCUCUUGUUUUGGCUUUUGAUACUAUGAAAGCUGAUUUAUGAUGCCUCUUAAUUAUUCUCUUCUCUAACAAAGAUGAAAUAAGUGUGAAGUACUUCAGUAACUGAAGUUCAACAGAAUGGCAUUGGUAGUUCUGAAUUUCUUUUGUUGUUACUAAGUAUGAGUAAUCCUGGAAAGUUUUUAACUGAGAAACUGUGAAAUUAGUAUGAUUGUAUUCAAUAUAUGUCAGAACGACAGAAACUCCCAGUCUUCUGAUUCUUGUUUUUUUUUUUUUUAACUGCAUACUUUCGUAAGUGGUUAGGUCUUGAUCUUACCGUAUUGAAGCCAGCUGGGUUUUCCCAUCAACUUACAUUAGAACAGCCUCUGUGUAUGGAGAAAUUCCCCUAAUUAGGUCAUUACACUCAACAUUCCGUUUUUUUAAUGACCUAUUUCACUUUACCUGAUAAAAGAAUCUGCUGCUCUUAAAUAGUUUUUGUUGCUUUUGAAGUAUAAAAAUUCAACAUUACCUUAUUAACAAUUUCUCUCUUGCCAAAUGCUGCGCACGUAGGUUGUCUUUUUUUUUUUUAAUAAAACAGAGAAGAUCAUUUGUUGAAGCUUUCUCAAAAUGAAAAUGCCACUUCCCAUGUCUUUUUUUGUUCUCUGUUUUCUCUGCACCUUCCAAAUUUUUCAUUGACUACCAAGCAGUCAUUCAUGUAAAUGACUCAGUUUGGCUCACAGAAAAAGUAUGACUAGUGACACUAGGCCUCACUGAAGUGUCUUUCAGCACUCUCAGAUUUUCUAUUGUCAAUGACAUCACAGUGAAAAGGGAAGAGGACUUCUUCAGAAAAAUCAGUUACGUUUUCCUCCAAAGUCUACAAGAUCAGCAGAAGAAUCUGCAACUGCAGGAACUUAUUUCAGUCAGGAGCUCUGCCCUUCUGUGGCAUUUGAGCACCAUCUUGUCAGCCUGUUCAGCCUAGUUCUUGUGCCUUUAUAAAUGCAUGCUAAAAAUUUAUAUUAUUUAACAACUUAUUCUUUGAGGUACACUUACUACAUAAAAUUACUGGUAUAAUGAUUAUUCUGGUGCGUAGUACUUGAAUAUAGUAUGAGUCAGUCCAUACUCAUGUGUUUCCCCCAACACCACCGUUAGACUAGCACUUCAUGUUGGUGAAAAGUCAAGAGAAAAGUAGACUUAAAUUUCCUUUUGUAAUAUUAUAAUAUGCAUGGAUGAUAUAUUUUGGGUUGUUAUAUCAACAUAUGCUUUUGACUAUUCCGCUCUACAGAAGUCAGAGAUUAUUGUUAGUAUUUGCCAGUAAAUUUUGCAGAAUAGUGAAGGGUAACAAUUCUGAAACAAGAUUCUCGCUUCUGCCGAGGACGUGAUGAGCAAUGGCUAUGCUUUUGUCAAUACAGCUGAGUAAGUUUUUCUGCACCAACAGGUCUAUGGGAAUUGCUGAACUUGAAUAUGUUCAAAUGUCAGAACUAAAUCUAUAAAAAUUGUUUACGCUGUUUUUCCAAUGGUAUGUUAAGAAUAUACACAUAGAAGAAUCACUCUAAGCAAAAUAGUUGGGAUCUUGGCAAUACUGAGUAUAGGUUUCUGACUGAAGUGCUGUGAAAAAGAGGAAGUUUUCUGUAUGGCUUUAUAGUGAAAGGCAAACAGUGGCUGUAAAAACACUGAUUAUUGUUUUGUUUUGUGUUUGUAAUGGGGCUUUACUGUCCCAGUGGGUUUCCUUAGAACUGUGGAUCUAUCAAAUCUCUUGAAAUGUAUUUAAGUAUGUAAACUGGGAAAUUUCUAUCCAAAUAAGAACAGGUUCUGUGUUGGAACUUACAUUUCAAACCAUUUGCUAAAGAACGUGAGUUCUAAUGCACCAGUUUCCAUACUACUAACCUUGUAUUCCAUUAUUUUGCAUUUGCAGUAAGUAAUUUUCUAAAAUCACAAUAAUUAUGAUUGUGCUCUUAGCUCAAUUAACUUAGUAUUACGUGAAAACUUUGUAUGUUUUGUUCAGGAAAGGUGAACUGUUCUGUGUUGUGAUUUACCUUUGUAGUAAAAAAACCUGCAAAACUUGUCACAAAAUUA